rnacentral:tRNA from 1 species
GGAGGUUUGGCAGAGUUGGUCUAUUGCACUGGUCUUGAAAACCAGAGGGCGGUAAAACGCUCCAAGGGUUCGAAUCCCUUAGCCUCCU